GAUGAACGCUAGCGGCAGGCCUAACACAUGCAAGUCGAGGGAGAAGCCCUUUCGGGGGCAGAAACCGGCGCACGGGUGCGUAACGCGUAUGCAACCUACCUUUCACAGGGGGAUAGCCCGAAGAAAUUUGGAUUAAUACCCCAUAAUAUUAUUGGAUGGCAUCAUUUGAUAAUUAAAACUGCGGUGGUGAAAGAUGGGCAUGCGUCCUAUUAGCUAGUUGGAGUGGUAACGGCACCCCAAGGCUACGAUAGGUAGGGGUCCUGAGAGGGAGAUCCCCCACACUGGUACUGAGACAGGGACCAGACUCCUACGGGAGGCAGCAGUGAGGAAUAUUGGUCAAUGGUCGGAAGACUGAACCAGCCAUGCCGCGUGCAGGAAGAAAUGCCCUUAUGGGGUUGUAAAACUGCUUUUAUAUGGGAAAGAAUAAAGGCGUACGUGUACG
rnacentral:rRNA from 1 species